rnacentral:lncRNA from 1 species
AUUGGCAGAUAGGUUACACAUACCAGAGGUUCUUAAUACAUAGUAUUUGUAUAGGAGGUGUUUGAAAUUUCAUGGGAAAAUAGAGGUUACAUUAUUGGGAAAUAUUGCAAAGAAUCAUCAUAUAGUAGAGAAUGGUAGAUACAUGUCUAGCUGAAGAAAUCUUCUCUUGACAAUUUAACUAUAUACCAGAACCAAGUCUUACUUGAAAACACGGAGUAAUCCUCUUUUCUGGAGGGACAAAGAUUCAUAGGAUUACUUGUAUUUAUUUGGUCGGUUUGGGGACAAUUAGGAAGAAUUAAGGCUAGCAUCCAGGCUAUGACUGAUUGAAAUAAGAACUCUCAUAGGACUCUUACAGAACAAUGUCUCUCAAAGGUUGACUGUGCUUAAAAGAAGUAAUCACAGUUAACAAAUAGUUGGGAUAACCUAAGGGACAUGGCUUUCUGCAGGUUACAUCUAUUCAGAUUACUCAUUUAUAUGUUAUUAUUGAGUUGGUAUAAGGUCAAAUAAGGCAACUUUGCCCACUUACAUACAAGAUAUUUCUCCCCAGUGUAACAUGCUAUGAAUUGUUUUAUAUAUUAACCCACUACAACGAUUGAGCCUACAUAAAAGCAUCUAACAUAAAAUAAUAACAAUGCUAUGAAUGUUGAUAUUAUGUUUAAUAUUAUAUGCUAGUAUUUUAAUAUUUACAAUUAUAUAGAAUAAAUUAGAUGUAUUUUGGAAAUAAUUGUCUUGGUGUUAAAUCUGAUAAAGACAAGGUCAGAUGUCAAUAAACAUUCAUAAAUGUAUUAUCUCUUGUUUGGUCAAAGAGAAUGUAUUAUCUUUUGUUUGGUCAAAGAGAAUGAAUGUAAAAGGAAUAUAGAUGUAUAAACUGUAGAAGAAAUCCUGUAUUUCAUUACCACUUUUGCAUUUUUCUUGUGAUAAAUGAGACAAAGCAUGACUGAGAUAUUGAGGCAAGGCAUAUGUAAACUCUUGACAGAUACAUUCAUUGACAAGAAAAAAAUAUAUAAUUAUGUUCAUAAACAUGGACUUUUAACACCAAACUGGCCAAAAGUCCCAGAGCUUGGGAAUACACUUCAGAAAAAAAUUAACCUGAACCUCAAUCUUUAACUAUAUGUAAGGUCAGCAUUAAACAUGCUUAAGGAAGAGUACUAUAUUCCUAUAAAUGUAGAUUUCUGGGUUUAGUCCAAACCAAAGUAUUAUGCCUUAUGGCUGCUUGAUAUACAUUUCUCAUAUAGCUGCAUUGCAGUUUUUCUCUAUGACUGUCGUUUAUCAAACUUGCCUUGUAAUUGUAUCAUCAUUUGAUUUACAACUUUUGAAGCUAUAAGUUAUAUUGUUAGAUGAAUACAAAACCAUGAGAUUUAGACAGUCUGGAGUCAUCCCUUUCAUUAUUAUUUAGUUGCUCUAAUAAUUUUUGGAGAAAUUAAAAAACCUUAUCAACCAAAGGUUCUUUCUGUUCCAGUGUAGAUGAUAGGGGAAAUAUGAUUUAUUAUUGAAUAUGCAUAUCAGAUUACAUGUAGGCAGGCUGUCCUCCUGAGACUGACUCCUGGAUAGAAUUUCACAUAAAUUUGCAGAAAAAAUAACAGUAAAGCUGUACUUUCACCCAAGACAAAUGGAUGCACCUUGUAGCUUCUGUACCUCAUGUGAAACUUUUAAAUUUAUUUUUGAGAUAUGUGCUUACCAUUCUAUGGUGAAAAGUUCCUCAGAUCUUCACGUAAAGUCGAAUGUUGAGUCUAUUAUUGGGUCUAUUGUGUUUUCAAAGUUAUGCUAUGGCAAAUGACAUUUACUUCUUAGUGUCAUUAUAAAGAUUAAAUGAGUUAAAAUCUGUAAAACACAACAGUGCCAGCAAUGUGAUUACUGUGUAAGUAUCGGGUUAAAAAUGUGUUAGAUACCUAUGAUUUCAUAGAUGUGGAUAGCAUAUCUUCUUUUUUUUGUUUUUCUUUUUUUUUUUUUUUUUUUU